rnacentral:rRNA from 1 species
UGUUUCGGCAAGGGGGUCAUCCCGACUUACCAACCCGAUGCAAACUGCGAAUACCGGAGAAUGUUAUCACGGGAGACACACGGCGGGUGCUAACGUCCGUCGUGAAGAGGGAAACAACCCAGACCGCCAGCUAAGGUCCCAAAGUCAUGGUUAAGUGGGAAACGAUGUGGGAAGGCCCAGACAGCCAGGAUGUUGGCUUAGAAGCAGCCAUCAUUUAAAGAAAGCGUAAUAGCUCACUGGUCGAGUCGGCCUGCGCGGAAGAUGUAACGGGGCUAAACCAUGCACCGAAGCUGCGGCAGCGACGCUUAUGCGUUGUUGGGUAGGGGAGCGUUCUGUAAGCCUGUGAAGGUGUGCUGUGAGGCAUGCUGGAGGUAUCAGAAGUGCGAAUGCUGACAUAAGUAACGAUAAAGCGGGUGAAAAGCCCGCUCGCCGGAAGACCAAGGGUUCCUGUCCAACGUUAAUCGGGGCAGGGUGAGUCGACCCCUAAGGCGAGGCCGAAAGGCGUAGUCGAUGGGAAACAGGUUAAUAUUCCUGUACUUGGUGUUACUGCGAAGGGGGGACGGAGAAGGCUAUGUUGGCCGGGCGACGGUUGUCCCGGUUUAAGCGUGUAGGCUGGUUUUCCAGGCAAAUCCGGAAAAUCAAGGCUGAGGCGUGAUGACGAGGCACUACGGUGCUGAAGCAACAAAUGCCCUGCUUCCAGGAAAAGCCUCUAAGCAUCAGGUAACAUCAAAUCGUACCCCAAACCGACACAGGUGGUCAGGUAGAGAAUACCAAGGCGCUUGAGAGAACUCGGGUGAAGGAACUAGGCAAAAUGGUGCCGUAACUUCGGGAGAAGGCACGCUGAUAUGUAGGUGAAGUCCCUCGCGGAUGGAGCUGAAAUCAGUCGAAGAUACCAGCUGGCUGCAACUGUUUAUUAAAAACACAGCACUGUGCAAACACGAAAGUGGACGUAUACGGUGUGACGCCUGCCCGGUGCCGGAAGGUUAAUUGAUGGGGUCAGCGCAAGCGAAGCUCUUGAUCGAAGCCCCGGUAAACGGCGGCCGUAACUAUAACGGUCCUAAGGUAGCGAAAUUCCUUGUCGGGUAAGUUCCGACCUGCACGAAUGGCGUAAUGAUGGCCAGGCUGUCUCCACCCGAGACUCAGUGAAAUUGAACUCGCUGUGAAGAUGCAGUGUACCCGCGGCAAGACGGAAAGACCCCGUGAACCUUUACUAUAGCUUGACACUGAACAUUGAGCCUUGAUGUGUAGGAUAGGUGGGAGGCUUAGAAGUGUGGACGCCAGUCUGCAUGGAGCCGACCUUGAAAUACCACCCUUUAAUGUUUGAUGUUCUAACGUUGACCCGUAAUCCGGGUUGCGGACAGUGUCUGGUGGGUAGUUUGACUGGGGCGGUCUCCUCCUAAAGAGUAACGGAGGAGCACGAAGGUUGGCUAAUCCUGGUCGGACAUCAGGAGGUUAGUGCAAUGGCAUAAGCCAGCUUGACUGCGAGCGUGACGGCGCGAGCAGGUGCGAAAGCAGGUCAUAGUGAUCCGGUGGUUCUGAAUGGAAGGGCCAUCGCUCAACGGAUAAAAGGUACUCCGGGGAUAACAGGCUGAUACCGCCCAAGAGUUCAUAUCGACGGCGGUGUUUGGCACCUCGAUGUCGGCUCAUCACAUCCUGGGGCUGAAGUAGGUCCCAAGGGUAUGGCUGUUCGCCAUUUAAAGUGGUACGCGAGCUGGGUUUAGAACGUCGUGAGACAGUUCGGUCCCUAUCUGCCGUGGGCGCUGGAGAACUGAGGGGGGCUGCUCCUAGUACGAGAGGACCGGAGUGGACGCAUCACUGGUGUUCGGGUUGUCAUGCCAAUGGCACUGCCCGGUAGCUAAAUGCGGAAGAGAUAAGUGCUGAAAGCAUCUAAGCACGAAACUUGCC